CCUACGGGCGGCAGCAGUGGGGAAUAUUGCACAAUGGGGGAAACCCUGAUGCAGCGACGCCGCGUGAGUGAAGAAGUAUUUCGGUACGUAAAGCUCUAUCAGCAGGGAAGAAAAUGACGGUAUCUGACUAAUAAGCCCCGGCUAACUCCGUGCCAGCAGCCGCGGUAAUACGUAGGGGGCAAGCGUUAUCCGGAUUUACUGGGUGUAAAGGGAGCGUAGACGGCAGCGCAAGUCUGGAGUGAAAUCCCAUGGCUUAACCAUGGAACUGCUUUGGAAACUGUGAAGCUAGAGUGCAGGAGAGGUAAGCGGAAUUCCUAGUGUAGCGGUGAAAUGCGUAGAUAUUAGGAGGAACACCAGUGGCGAAGGCGGCUUACUGGACUGUAACUGACGUUGAGGCUCGAAAGCGUGGGGAGCAAACAGGAUUAGAUACCCGAGUAGUC
rnacentral:rRNA from 1 species